UACGUAGGGUGCGAGCGUUGUCCGGAAUUAUUGGGCGUAAAGGGCUCGUAGGCGGUCUGUCACGUCAGGAGCGAAAACUCGGGGCUCAACCCCGAGCCUGCUUCUGAUACGGGCAGACUGGAGGUAUGCAGGGGAGAACGGAAUUCCUGGUGUAGCGGUGAAAUGCGCAGAUAUCAGGAGGAACACCGGUGGCGAAGGCGGUUCUCUGGGCAUUACCUGACGCUGAGGAGCGAAAGUGUGGGGAGCGAACAGG
rnacentral:rRNA from 1 species